rnacentral:rRNA from 1 species
GGGUGCGUAACGCGUAUGCAAUCUACCUUAUACAGGGGAAUAGCCCAGGGAAACUUGGAUUAAUGCCCCAUAGUAUUGUAGACUGGCAUCAGUUUAUAAUUAAAGAUUUAUCGGUAUAAGAUGAGCAUGCGUCCCAUUAGUUAGUUGGUAAGGUAACGGCUUACCAAGACAGCGAUGGGUAGGGGCCCUGAGAGGGCGACCGGCCACACUGGGACUGAGACACGGCCCAGACUCC